rnacentral:rRNA from 1 species
UACGGGGGGGGCAAGCGUUGUUCGGAAUUACUGGGCGUAAAGGGCUCGUAGGCGGCCAACUAAGUCAGACGUGAAAUCCCUCGGCUUAACCGGGGAACUGCGUCUGAUACUGGAUGGCUUGAGGUUGGGAGAGGGAUGCGGAAUUCCAGGUGUAGCGGUGAAAUGCGCAGAUAUCGGGAGGAACACCAAUGGCGAAGGCAGCUCGCUGGGACGGUACUGACGCUGAGACGCGAAAGCGUGGGGAGCAAACAGG